GACGGACGCUGGCGGCGUGCCUAAUACAUGCAAGUAGAACGCUGAAGGAGGAGCUUGCUUCUCUGGAUGAGUUGCGAACGGGUGAGUAACGCGUAGGUAACCUGCCUGGUAGCGGGGGAUAACUAUUGGAAACGAUAGCUAAUACCGCAUAAUAGCAGUUAUUGCAUGAUAACUGUUUGAAAGGUGCAAUUGCACCACUACCAGAUGGACCUGCGUUGUAUUAGCUAGUUGGUGGGGUAACGGCUCACCAAGGCGACGAUACAUAGCCGACCUGAGAGGGUGAUCGGCCACACUGGGACUGAGACACGGCCCAGACUCCUACGGGAGGCAGCAGUAGGGAAUCUUCGGCAAUGGACGGAAGUCUGACCGAGCAACGCCGCGUGAGUGAAGAAGGUUUUCGGAUCGUAAAGCUCGGUUGUAAGAGAAGAACGAGUGUGAGAGUGGAAAGUUCACACUGUGACGGUAUCUUACCAGAAAGGGACGGCUAACUACGUG
rnacentral:rRNA from 1 species